UACGUAGGGGGGCAAGCGUUGUCCGGAAUUAUUGGGCGUAAAGAGCGUGUAGGCGGCCAGAUAAGUCCGCUGUGAAAUCUCGAGGCUCAACUUCGAGCUGUCGGUGGAAACUAUCUGGCUAGAGUCCGGAAGAGGAGAAUGGAAUUCCUGGUGUAGCGGUGAAAUGCGCAGAUAUCAGGAAGAACACCCGUGGCGAAGGCGGUUCUCUGGGACGGUACUGACGCUGAGACGCGAAAGCGUGGGGGAGCGAACAGG
rnacentral:rRNA from 1 species